rnacentral:rRNA from 1 species
GACGAACGCUGGCUGCGUGCUUAACACAUGCAAGUCGAACGGAAAGGCCCUGCUUUUGUGGGGUGCUCGAGUGGCGAACGGGUGCGUAACACGUGAGUAACCUGCCCUUGACUUUGGGAUAACUUCAGGAAACUGGGGCUAAUACCGGAUAGUAGCUCCUGCUGCAUGGUGGGGGUUGGAAAGUUUCGGCGGUUGGGGAUGGACUCGCGGCUUAUCAGCUUGAUGGUGGGGUAGUGGCUUACCAAGGCUUUGACGGGUAGCCGGCCUGAGAGGGUGACCGGCCACAUUGGGACUGAGAUACGGCCCAGACUCCUACGGGAGGCAGCAGUGGGGAAUAUUGCACAAUGGGCGGAAGCCUGAUGCAGCAACGCCGCGUGCGGGAUGACGGCCUUCGGGUUGUAAACCGCUUUCGCCUGUGACGAAGCGUGAGUGACGGUAAUGGGUAAAGAAGCACCGGCUAACUACGUG